GUGCUCGCUUCGGCAGCACGUAUUCUAAAAUUGGAACGAUAAAGAGAAGAUUAGAAUGGCCCCUGCACAAGAAUGAGACGCAAAUUCAUAAAGCGUUCCAUAUUUUU